AGCCAAUUAGAUUUUCCUUGCUUUUAUUGAAGUAGCUGCAGUCAUACUAAAAGCUCCAUCAAUCAAUCUUAUCCAGAGCUCAGAUAAGUCAAAGGGAAGUUUCUGGGUUGACUUGCCUGGCUCUGGUUCAAGCCUCGCAAAGACAGUAUUUUCCUUUGCUGUCAGUGCUGCUCUCAGGUUUUGGCCUGUCUCCUUUGGCUGAAUGUGGAGUGUCAGCAGGCAAGUGUGCAAGGAGGAGAUCUGUGGGUUGUUGUUUCCAAAUGAAAAAGUACUUAAGGGGGAAGGUUUUCUCUCUUCUCUCUACAUUUUGAAAGAGAUAAACCUUCUGAGAUAGCAGCAUCUUGAAUUCCACUAAAACUGGGCUCAGAUGCAUGUAUUAAAGAUGAAUAGGUCUUUGUUUUUGUUUUUGUUUUUGUUUCUUCCAGUAAAGAAGCCAUAGUAAGAACUUAAACUCAAAUCUUUAUAUGUUGCUCUGUCACUAAGGAAUUCCCUUGAAAUAAGAGAAUAUAUCCAGCAACGUAGCUAGACCAUAUAGAAAAUGAAGAGAAAGAUACUUUUCAAUGUAAGCCAUGAUAUCCAAAUCUUGCCCUUAACAAUCAGAGGUUUGAGACUAGCUUUAUUGAUUUAUUUUAAAAGCUUUCCAGUUCACCUUUAAGCUUUGACUUAAGAAGAGAGUGAUAAUAGCUGCUUCUUGAACCAAAGGAGAGUAUUAAAUAUAGGUGAUAUGAGACCCAGAGGUGCAAUCAUAGCUAAUAGAUUUCAGUAAGCCAGGGGUAGCUUUUUUUCUACAGCUCUGCAGUUUCUGCAUGAAAUAUAUAUCGCAGAAAUUUUUGCAACACUUUGCAAUAAGAGGUAAAGCAUGAUUGAAUCUCUUUAAUAUUCACUAUGAUAACAUGAAACACCACUGAAUUCUUCCAGUAUCCUUCUGGAUGUAUUAUCUUAUUCCACAGGAAUUCUGUUGAGAGAGAGCAGCGUAACAGUGUUUUCAUAUAGAAGUGCUAUUGCAGUUUCUCAGGGAAGAGGGUAAAGCGAUGCAGUUGGAGUCAAAGGUUUUCAAAAGCAGCAGCUGCUAUACAAGAAGCUCUGAUAGGGACGUUCUUUCCCUAUAAUAUCUCAUGCAUAGAGAGGUAGGGCUGAUAGAACUAGAAACCUGGAAUCUCUUUAAUGUUUCCAGUAGCUGGGGAAGUUCUGAGCUAGAUGGGAAAUGGGCAGUUCAGGUCUGUCUAAGACUGAAAAAUGGCUUUUGGAAACAGCAUGAGACAAAACAUCCUUAAUAUCCUUGAUAAUUCCAUCCUGAUUGUGUCAGGGAUUGUCAGCACUGACUGGGCAUGUCUGGAGUGGUGAAAGAGUUUAGUCACAUGCAGAGAUCCUGGAUGCGUCCUUUCUGAACUGUGCAUCCUGGCAUAGCCUCCGCUUACCAGGAGACUUCUUUUGUUUUUUCCUCUGAGCCCACGUUGUGUGCCUGUCUUCGUCCAACAUGAAGAAAAUGCAAUUUCUCUUGAGAGGACUUGCCUAUCCACAGUGCGAUCCCUCAACUCCCAUCCCUCAGAGGGUCUAAUCCCCAAGUCACUCCUGAGAGUCUCAUGCCCUGAUGAAAAUGACCUGAAACACUGGUUGCUAAAAAGUUUUUUUUGUGUAUUUUUUUAAAGGUGUCCACACCUGCCUGCGUCCACGUAGCAGCUUUGUAGUUCAAUGGAACAGGUCCUUCCUCAGAGUCCUGUAAGGAGCAACUUCUAGGCCAAAUUACCUUGAAAAGCUGGAAAGCCAGCUGAAAGCAGCUGAUGGGAGCGAUAGCUAUUUCUGGAGUUCAGCCUGUGCACCUCCAAAGCUUUGCAUCAGCAUCUCUCAGUGUGUUAAAAUAAGUAUGGGUUCACACCUCAAAAUUAUGAUUUGCAUGCUGCUUUCCCUUAUCAUUGACAUGACGAACAGUGAGCUGGCACUGACUGUUUUUCCAGAACAUAACCAGGUUUUAGAUGUGAUGACUGGAACUCGUGUUUGUAACAAAAGGAUCGUCUUGCUUUUAUAUUGUCUAUUUUUAUUUACUACAUCUGUGCUAUUAAUGACUGGUUAAAAAGAGUACCAGAAGUCCAUAUAGCCUUUCUUCCUUCCUGCAUUUAUUAACAUAUAAGGAAGAUCAAACAAAGCCUGCAGAGCUCUAGUCAUCAAAAUAAAAUAAAGAGAUCUCAGCCUGCCACAGGGAAUAGUGAAGACAACCAAUUUAUUUGUAGUUGUAGGAGAUAUGUCAUGAAUGUCACUAUUUUGUUCGUGACAAGCUGAAAGAAGGCAUCUUAUCUAAGCCUAGAAAUCCAGGUUAAUGAUGAAACCAGAUCCAAGAUUAAGCACUUUUCUGUCUAAAAACUGCAGUCCUUGUGUCUGUUUGCCUACACAUUUAUUUAUAGAGUCUCAGCCAUCACAGCACCUACAAAUGGGGUGAUACUGUCAAGGCCCAAUCUGGGAGAGUACAUGGUGCCCACAGUGUUCUUCUCCUUUGCUUGCUGUCUUAACCCACAGCAGUAAGUUUUGUUUGUGUUUUUUUUUUUUUUUUUGGUUUUGUUCCCCACCCCCUUUCCCGCAGGUUAAUCCACUUUCCAUCUGAUUUUUUUUCCCCCCAUAAAUAUAGCAGAAGGAAAAGAAACGCUUUUCAUUACGUAGAGCAUCCACAUUUAGAGCAUCCACGUUUUCUUCUGAGUGCUGCACGCUCGGUGUCCACGUGCCGGCUGGGAAGCACACAGCUGGAUGUGGACAACCUCACCGCUGUGGGGGUAAUGUGAAAUGGGGUAAUGUGAUGCUCUACAGUAUCCCUGUAAGACGAGAAAAAGUAGAGAAGAAAAAACAUCGCCCUUAUUGGUUAACAGAGAUUGGAGUGAUUGCCUUGCUUUUUGAUUGCAGCUCUGUUGCAAAUGGAGAAAUGCUCAUCAGCUGUUAGCUGCAGUGGCUCUGGGAGAAUCCUGCUGUGAAGUUUCACUUAAUGACACACUGAAAAUUUCCCUUCUUUUCGUAUUUAAUAUUGGCAUGCAUUACAGGCCAUUGUUUCUUCUCUUUGGAUCAGCGGAAAGCCUACUCCUCUGCCAGUGAAAGGUCCAAAACUAGAUCUCAGUGCCCCAGCUGAUUUCAGACUCUGGAAUCCUGUGACACCCUUCAAGUGAGCAUCCCAGAGUGCAGGAUUACCAGAAUCUAAACAGAGAGCAAGCUACAAGGCCAUCCUCCUCCUCUUUCAUUUACUCCUCCACCCAGCUUCAAACCAGAAGCUUGAUGUAAGGCACUUAAACUUGAGAAAAUCCUACGUGCGUUUGGGAUAUCAGCAAGAGUCUGUUCCGUAGAUAAUGAAUCCAAAAUAAAAACUCGUAUCCACAGCCUUUGUUUAGGUUGAUUCAGAACUAAAAAAAAAA